rnacentral:lncRNA from 1 species
GUACAAGAUCAAGCCAGCCCACAUUCCAGUAAAUACUGGGCAGUGGUUCCUGAAGUCUCACCCUUAUUUGAGGAAAAUUGACAACUGAAAAUGCCAAGGGAGGGAUAGUUAUCUUACUUCAAUGAUGAAAGCCAUGAAGAGCUAGCUACCCAUUCUCUGAAGAUGGUUCUGUGACCAUGUACAUGCAGGAAGCAUGAAAUGACUCAGCGUGUAUUAAAGAAAAGGAGAGAGCUCAUGAAUUUGCAUGAGAAAAAAUUAUUGAUGGGAAAUGAGGAUGUGGAGGAAAGAAAAUGGUGUUAUAAGCUUGGAAACUACAAAAAGACCUUCUUGUUUCAUGUAUGCACAUAAGAACGUUCUAUGUCAUUGAAAGGUGAAUUGCUACCAGGAGCCAGUUUUCCUUUAAAACUUUCUCAUCCGACAAUAAGAUUCUAAGACUACAUCCAGAAGUGAUUGAUACCUCUUCCAAAUAAACAAUUGAAAUG